rnacentral:rRNA from 1 species
UACGUAGGGGGCGAGCGUUGUCCGGAUUUAUUGGGCGUAAAGAGCGUGUAGGCGGCCAGGUAGGUCUGCUGUGAAAACUCGAGGCUCAACCUCGAGACGUCGGCGGAAACCAUCUGGCUAGAGUCCGGAAGAGGUGAGUGGAAUUCCUAGUGUAGAGGUGAAAUUCGUAGAUAUUAGGAAGAACACCAGUGGCGAAGGCGGCUCACUGGUCCGGUACUGACGCUGAGGUGCGAAAGCGUGGGGAGCAAACAGG